rnacentral:rRNA from 1 species
CCAGGGAUUGCCCUAGUACCGGCGAGUGAAGCGGCAACAGCUCAAAUUUGAAAUCUGGCGUCUUUGGCGUCCGAGUUGUAAUUUGCAGAGGGCGCUUUGGCAUUGGCAGCGGUCCAAGUUCCUUGGAACAGGACGUCACAGAGGGUGAGAAUCCCGUACGUGGUCGCUAGCCUUUACCGUGUAAAGCCCCUUCGACGAGUCGAGUUGUUUGGGAAUGCAGCUCUAAAUGGGAGGUAAAUUUCUUCUAAAGCUAAAUACUGGCCAGAGACCGAUAGCGCACAAGUAGAGUGAUCGAAAGAUGAAAAGCACUUUGGAAAGAGAGUUAAAAAGCACGUGAAAUUGUUGAAAGGGAAGCGCUUGCAGCCAGACUUGCCUGUAGUUGCUCAUCCGGGUUUCUACCCGGUGCACUCUUCUAUAGGCAGGCCAGCAUCAGUUUGGGCGGUUGGAUAAAGGUCUCUGUCAUGUACCUCCUUUCGGGGAGAACUUAUAGGGGAGACGACAUGCAACCAGCCUGGACUGAGGUCCGCGCAUCUGCUAGGAUGCUGGCGUAAUGGCUGUAAGCGGCCCGUCUUGAAACACGGACCAAGGAGUCUAACAUCUAUGCGAGUGUUUGGGUGUCAAGCCCGAGCGCGUAAUGAAAGUGAACGGAGGUGGGAACCUUUCGGGGUGCACCAUCGACCGAUCCUGAUGUCUUCGGAUGGAUUUGAGUAAGAGCAUAGCUGUUGGGACCCGAAAGAUGGUGAACUAUGCUUGAAUAGGGUGAAGCCAGAGGAAACUCUGGUGGAGGCUCGCAGCGGUUCUGACGUGCAAAUCGAUCGUCAAAUUUGGGCAUAGGGGCGAAAGACUAAUCGAACUAUCUAGUAGCUGGUU